rnacentral:rRNA from 1 species
AACGAACGCUGGCGGCAUGCCUAACACAUGCAAGUCGAACGAAACCUUCGGGACUAUUGGCGCACGGGUUCGUAACGCGUGGGAACCUUCCCUUAGGUUCGGAAUAACUCUCCGAAAGGGGUGCUAAUACCGGAUCAUGUCUUCUGACCAAAGAUUUAUCGCCUUUGGAUGGGCCCGCGUUGGAUUAGCUAGUUGGUAGGGUAAAAGCCUACCAAGGCGACGAUCCAUAGCUGGUCUGAGAGGAUGAUCAGCCACACUGGGACUGAGACACGGCCCAGACUCCUACGGGAGGCAGCAGUGGGGGAUAGUGGAAAGUGGGCGAAAGCCUGAUCCAGCAAUGCCGCGUGAGUGAUGAAGGCCUUAGGGUUGUAAAGCGCAUUUAACCGGGAUGAUAAUGACAGUACCGGGAGAAUAAGCUCCGGCUAACUCCGUG